GAAUUGAAGCAUCUGGCAAAGUCCAACUAGAUAAAAACCAGCUAAUUGUCAAAUAUACUUCAAAUGAUGGAGAGAUUGAACUGGGAGGAGAGACGAGAUUGGUUGAGAAGAAGAAGCGGAAAUCUACAAAUUACCACAAAAUGCACCAAAAAAGACGCAAAAUCAUUCGGUCUGUCACGGAUGAGACGAGUUUGGUUGCGAAAUGGAAAAGAAAGUCGGACAGUUACUACGAAAUGUACCAAAAGAGACGCAAAAUCGGGGAGAAAGAGUUGUCUGACACGGCUGAGGUGGAAGAAGUAGCGCCAUACGAUGAGGCUCCCAAUGAAGAUCAAGAUACCCAAUUAAAUCCAUUUAAUGCAAUGAGUAAUCUAACGACGAACGGUCCAUCAUCGAAUGCACAGGAGUGGUCUAACGACGAGCCAAAGCAGGAGCCUGUAUUCGAGGAUAUCUUCAUUCAAAAUCAACACUUUCCUUCAGAAAUUGAAGAUGUUCCAAUUCAAGAAAUUCGCCGUAUUGAGCCAGACACCAAGCUUGCCUAUUUGAACAUAGGAUCAAGUGUGCAAGGAGCUGUAAUUACUGAUUCUGGCGAGAUCAAGCUUCAUAAAUUCUUGAAUUCGUUAGAACUCAUUCUUACUUCUCUCGAAUCAGAUACUCUAGAUGAUUUGUUAAACGAUAUUGAAGGGAUUCGUGUUCGAAUAAAUGAUGAGGUAGCUAGAACUUCAAAUGUUGAAAUAAAUUCAGGACUUUUUUCAGAUUCUUCCACCAGAGCUAGUGAUCACUGCCUUGCAGACGUUCUUAUUGGGAAUCACUCGCAAGUCUCGAUCCGCAGCGUCAGCAGAAAACAAAUCAUCACACGAGUGUCUGAGAAUCUUCAAAUAUUCAUUGCUUUGGCUCAGAAGCCCUUUGCUUUGGGAGAUACAACAGAGGGUUGCGGAAGAAAUUGAGAGUCACGUUAUAGGAGAAAAGGUAUGUUUCAUUGAACAUGUUGGUCUAGGGCUUUCAUGUAGGCGUUAAACGCCUGCCUGCCUCACCUUCGUCUCAACCCGCGCCUUAUACUUUUGAUUAUAUCGAAUUGAUAAAAUUGAUAAAAGAAAAUUAAACUUUUGUAAAUUCACGUCAAAAUACAAAAAAAAGGCAAAAGACCGAGGGGCAGGAAUCAGGCUCUAAAACCGUGGAAGCCCUACGUUAGUCAAAUAAACCCUAAUUUAUUUUCAGAUUAUCCUAGUCGCCGAUGUUCAGCAAGGUAUUCGGAACAUUCUCUUUGCGGUUUCCAGCUAAUUAACUUGAAACUUUUCAUAAAUAUCUUAUUUAUUUUUUACAUGAAUAAUCUUGCUCUACUUCACGAACUUCUAUCUUGCACAAAAAAUCAAUAAUUUAAUCUUCUAGAAACUAGAAAGUAUUCGUAUCAUUCAUUCUUAAAAUAAGUGUAGCUACACUUAUUUUACAUGUAUUUAGUAAUAUAUUAUCGAAAAACACGAUCUCACAAUUUUCUCAUAAUUUAUUUUUGAUCUACCUUGUUGACUAGACUCCCUUCGACUAAAACAGCCACAACAAAAUAACAACGACACCAAGAUUGGGGCACACAAGAUUGGGGCAAACAGGUAGAUCAAAAAUUAAUUAUGAGAAAUUUGUGCGAUCGUAUUUUUUCGAUAAUAUUGUUUUUGAGUCCAGGUCACAAAACGGUGCAGAAUGAGAUAGUGCAAAGAAAGAAGAGAGUACAGACAGAACGUGCAAAGACGCUCUACGGAUGAUAUGCGGGAAAUUCAGAAUGUUCAUCGAUUCGGUUACGACAGGGUUCCUUUAUUAAUACCCAAAAAAGCCCAUAACCUCAGAAUUUUUUCUUUUUUUUUACAAAAAUGAUCAAAGUUUCGGUACUUGUGUAGUAUACCUGCCUAAAAAUUAUUUUCCCGUACAUUUUCCAUUAAAGGUGAUGUAGUCGAGUUUUUUAUUAUUAGACUUGAAAUUGUCUGAAAACACUGAAUUUCAUAAUGAAACUUCUAAAAAACUCCAUCGAAUGGAUCACCAGAUUUAGAAAAAUUUGGUAGCUUCUGGUCCUCCAUCAACCGUAAAUGUACCUAAAUCGAGUUGAAAACGUAAGAUAAUUAACUUGUAACCCAAAAUUAGACAGUGAUUUCCAAAUAUUAUCAAAAAAAAAAUACGAUCGCACAAUUUUCUCAUAAUUUAUUUUUGGUCUACUUAGUCAUUAUUUUUAGCAGUUUCUGUGUGAAAUUCGUGUAGAUCACAUGUAGUUCACAAAAGAUUUAUCACUUAAAUCGUAUUUCUGUUGCUUUUUUAUUGUGAUCUACAAAUUCAUUGCGAUCUACGCGUGAUCUACACGAAGUAAACUUCUAAAAAUGAUAACUAAACGAGCGACGUGGAAAAACAAACACACUGCAUCCAAAUUUCUUUCUUUUAUGUGCUUUUUCUAACUUUUAUGUGCUUUGUUUAAGUAUCACAAAAGAUGUACAAUGAUGACGAGCUCACGGAAUUCAUGGAUUUCUUAGUGGAACAGACAAAGGAUUCGAUUUACCCAAUGGUGGCGGCAAAAGUAUUCAAACAAUUCCCCAAUCGUCGUUUGAUCCCAAAAGAUAAGCGUUAUCAAAGGUAAAAAGACCUGGACUUCGCUUUGUUCACCAAUAUUCUGUUCAGAUUUGUCUUACAACUUGCACCAAAAAUGAACGAUUGGAAUAACUACAGUAUUGAGGCACGAAUUCGAUUGAUGUAUGCGCUGCGUGGAAAAGUUGAAGAUGAUUUUUUGGCAAGGUGGGAAUGACACCACUUUUCAAGAUUAAAUCUGAAAAAGGCGUCCGCGGCCAACGGAAAGUACCGGCAAUUUCGGAAAUUUUGAAUUCUAAUUACAUAUUGAAAUAAAAAAAAAACUUUCACGUUGAUUUUUAGUAUUCGGUUAGUCAUUCGGCUAGACAGAAGUUCCUUCAUUCAAUUUUUCAUCUAAAAUUGAUAUAAGGAUGUAGAAAAAGGUGUGUUCUAUCCGAACGUAACAUUUCACACUUUUAGCACUUUUGUGGAAAACGGCAACUUUCAGGCACUAUACGAAAUUUUUUUGAAGCUUUUCAACCAAAAUAAUUGUUAUUUUCAGAUAGAAGGAAUCUUUUUCUACAUUCAUAUAUCAGCUUUGUUUGAAAGAAGUUAGUUUAUCUUGUUGAAAUAUGAAGUUUUGUGCGUUUGCCGAAAAAAAAAUCGACGCCCAUCCCUGAUCAUAACUUCAAUGAUUAAACCAUUUUGAGCAUGAAAAGAGCAAAUUGUUCAGUACAAUUCAUGUUUAGGCUCUGAAAUCUACAAAAAGUAUCUAAUAUACAUUACCGAAAAAUUCCGGAAAUCAAUUGCCGCACUCCCCUGAUCUGAAUAAUUUGCAGAAUUGAAGCUCAUGGAACUGUUCAGCUCAAUGAAAAACAAAGAAUCUCCAAAUUUACAGCGAAUGACGGAACAUUUUUUUUGGAAGAUGAUCGUAAACGUUUAUCACUAGACGCUACAAGACUCGAAUUCGUCAAGCUCAUGGGCUUUCUCAUUGAAAAAACCAAAGAUGCCGUUGAACCAUUGCCGAACACAAAACUAAUUUUUCAGGAGUUUAGCCAAAUUGAACCUGUUAAGAAGCCUAAUGAUACUGACAUAAUGUAUAAGUGAGAUGAGCAUUCCAUGUUUUCUUUACACAAAUUUAAUUCAGAUUUCGCAGUAGUUUGGCCCCAUAUAUGGACAAAUGGAAUGACUACAGUAUUGAAGACCGAGUUCGAUUAAUGUUCGCGUUGGGUGGAAAGAUUAAAGACGGUUUUCUGAGGACGUGGGUAUCAAAAUAUUUUUUUAGUUUUAAAUAUACCUAAUUUUUUGUGCGCAUCAAACAAAUUCCAUUAGAAAAAUAUGUACGUUAAUUUUCAGUUUAAAGGGGCUAUUCAUGUGAAAGAAGUGUGCAUGCGUUUGUUUUUUGUCUAAAUAUAAGCCUAAGUUUAGGCCUAAGCCUCAGUCAAAGCCUAAAGUCUAUUCUUUGUUUAAGAUUAAAAACAGUAAUUUGCAGAAUCGAAACUCAUGGAACUCUCCAACUGGACGAUAAGAGAAGAAUCACAAAAUAUGUCUCCAACGACGGAAAUUUCAAAUUGGAAGGAAUUCGUCGUAAUGUUCACAAAAAGGAAGCUACAGGUCCUGAAUACACGAGAUUCAUGGACUUUCUUAUUAAAACGACUAAAGAAGCAGUUGAACCAAUGAGAGUCUGGUUAGUUCACAAUGAAUUUAAGCGCCAAGAGGGUCGAAAGUUUUCUAAAAGUGGAUAUGCUAAGAGGUGAGGAUCUUUCAAGUUAUAAACAUCCUGAAAAGUUUCUAGAUUUCACAAAAAGUUGGCACCAAACAUGAGUAAAUGGACCAACUACAAAAUCGAAGAGCGCACCCGAAUGAUGUUUGCAAUGAAAGGCAAAGUUGAAUCUGAUUUUCUUGCUCA
rnacentral:sRNA from 1 species